GUAGGUCAUCAGUCACCUGUUUGUUGAACAUUUUAUAAAAUGACAAAGAAAACUCAUAACCUCUUUUACUGAUUCCACUGUUUUAUAUCAUAUUUAAAAAUAAUCUGGAUUUUCUUUUGAUAUGAACUUUUUUCUGGUGAAGUUGCAUCAUAACCGUGUUUAUUGUUACAGGCCCAACUCGACCUUCUCCCAACUGAUGAUAGAUGGCGCUGAAGCAGCAGAUGAUGAUAAUGAGUCAGGAUUCUCAUCUGUCAGUCAUGAUGACGACCAAUCAUCAAGUUCAUCUGAUCCAUCCCUCCACAGUGAUCAGUCAAAAGGACAAUUAAUUAAUUUCAAAAAAUUAGAAAAAUGCGACCCAGACAGGUAUCAAAGAUGGCAACACCUGCAGGAAGAGAGGGAACGUCUUCGAGUCCAACAAGAAUGUUUUUUGGCC